GCCAUAGCAACACCAUAGCAACGAGGGACGCGCCGUCCUGCCGACCCCUACCUCAUGACGUAACUUCCAGGAAGCCUCGCCACCACUCUGAACGCGGAAAUAUAGCACCACGCUAUCCUCGCCAUAUAUUGCAUACAUUUUCUGGGUUUUACUCGCGGGAUUCGUCAUGCCAUCUCGAUGUGUAGCGAUGAAUUACUCACAGGAAGAUUCGAGACUCUAGGAGUGGUCCCAAAAAAACUUCUCCUGCAAAGCCACGACAGCUUUGAAAACCUACAACAAUGCAACCUUGGUUUUGCAAAGACGAAGCCAAACACAAAAAAUUAAGUGGCGGAAACCCUCAACACGAUGAAAAAAGCGUUGCAAGUCAGUUGCCACCCAGUUUCCCAAAAUCAAGAGAGAGUGGGUCAAGUCAUAUGAUAACCCAAGUGAUGCGGUGUCCAGCGAUGACGACUGAAGAGAUCCUAUGAGGCCUGCCAGAUGCUGAAUUUCUUCCGUCUGCGACAUCAGAUGACGAUGAUUUAGGAGAAAUAAAUGUAGCAAAUUUUGAUGACAUGAAAUCAUAAACUAGUCAUAUAUACAGUACACAUUUUUUUAAAAGAAAAAUCAAGUUACCUUCAUAUUUUAAUGAUAAUGCAUUAUCUUUGUAUAGCGAACACUUCAUGCUACAGAAAAGAGUAAAUACAUAUACAUAAAUCUGGUAUCAUUUAUUAUUGUGGCCUAUUAAAUAUUUUUUCAGAAUGUAAUAUAAUUACAAUAUAUUAUAUACCAAUAGAAUACAUUAAACAGUCAACAAAAUGUGUCAAUGUUGUUAACAAUUUAUGGUUUUAUUUUUUUAAUGUAAUUCAUGCCCCUGUCAGUGCUUCAGCCUCCUCAAGUUUGGCUCUCACGUCUGGGAUCUCCUGAUGACACAGGCAUACUCUUGGAAGGGUAAUUACUUGACGGU